rnacentral:rRNA from 1 species
AAAACAACAGGGAUUACCUCAGUAACGGCGAGUGAAGCGGUAACAGCUCAAAUUUGAAAUCUGGCCUCACGGUCCGAGUUGUAAUUUGUAGAGGAUGCUUCGAGCAUGGUCUGGCCUAAGUUCCUUGGAACAGGACGUCAUAGAGGGUGAGAAUCCCGUAUGCGGUCAGGUGCCUACGCUCAUGUGAAGCUCCUUCGACGAGUCGAGUUGUUUGGGAAUGCAGCUCAAAAUGGGUGGUAAAUUUCAUCUAAAGCUAAAUAUUGGCCAGAGACCGACAGCGCACAAGUAGAGUGAUCGAAAGAUGAAAAGCACUUUGGAAAGAGAGUUAAACAGUACGUGAAAUUGUUGAAAGGGAAGCGCUUGCAACCAGACUUGCGUGCGGCCGAUCAUCCGGUGUUCUCACCGGUGCACUCGGCCGUGCUCAGGCCAGCAUCGGUUUUGGCGGCUGGAUAAAGGCCCCAGGAAUGUGGCUCCUCUCGGGGAGUGUUAUAGCCUGGGGUGCAAUGCAGCCUGCUGGGACCGAGGACCGCGCUUCGGCUAGGAUGCUGGCGUAAUGGUUGUAAGCGGCCCGUCUUGAAACACGGACCAAGGAGUCUAACAUCUAUGCGAGUGUUUGGGUGUCAAACCCAUACGCGUAAUGAAAGUGAACGGAGGUGAGAACCCUUAAGGGUGCAUCAUCGACCGAUCCUGAUGUCUUCGGAAGGAUUUGAGUAAGA